rnacentral:rRNA from 1 species
GACGUAGGAGACGAGCGUUGUCCGGAUUCAUUGGGCGUAAAGCGCGCGUAGGCGGCCCGGUAAGUCCGUUGUAAAAGUCAAAGGCUCAACCUUUGAAUGUCAGUGGAUACUGCCGGGCUAGAGUCCGGAAGAGGCGAGUGGAAUUCCUGGUGUAGCGGUGGAAUGCGCAGAUAUCAGGAGGAACACCAACGGCGAAGGCAGCUCGCUAGGACGGUACUGACGCUAAGGCGCGAAAGCGUGGGGAGCGAACAGG